UACGUAGGGUGCGAGCGUUAAUCGGAAUUACUGGGCGUAAAGCGUGCGCAGGCGGUUCGUUAAGUUCGUUGUGAAAGCCCCGGGCUCAACCUGGGAACUGCAAUGGAAACUGGCGGGCUUGAAUGCGGCAGAGGGGGGUGGAAUUCCGCGUGUAGCAGUGAAAUGCGUAGAGAUGUGGAGGAACACCAAUGGCGAAGGCAGCCCCCUGGGUCGAUACUGACGCUCAUGCACGAAAGCGUGGGUAGCAAACAGG
rnacentral:rRNA from 1 species